rnacentral:misc_RNA from 1 species
AACAUCGCGCACCUGCGGGAACCUGCGGAAGGAUCAUUACCGAGUGAGGGCCCUCCGGGUCCAACCUCCCACCCGUGUUUAUCGUACCUUGUUGCUUCGGCGGGCCCGCCGCAAGGCCGCCGGGGGGCGUCCGUCCCCGGGCCCGCGCCCGCCGAAGACACCUGUGAACGCUGUAUGAAGCUUGCAGUCUGAGCGAAAAGCUAAAUCGUUAAAACUUUCAGCAAUGGAUCUCAGAUCGGA